rnacentral:rRNA from 1 species
AGCCGACCUGAGAGGGUGAUCGGCCACAUUGGGACUGAGACACGGCCCAAACUCCUACGGGAGGCAGCAGUAGGGAAUCUUCGGCAAUGGACGAAAGUCUGACCGAGCAACGCCGCGUGAGUGAAGAAGGUUUUCGGAUCGUAAAACUCUGUUGUUAGAGAAGAACAAGGAUGAGAGUAACUGUUCAUCCCUUGACGGUAUCUAACCAGAAAGCCACGGCUAACUACGUGCCAGCAGCCGCGGUAAUACGUAGGUGGCAAGCGUUGUCCGGAUUUAUUGGGCGUAAAGCGAGCGCAGGCGGUUUCUUAAGUCUGAUGUGAAAGCCCCCGGCUCAACCGGGGAGGGUCAUUGGAAACUGGGAGACUUGAGUGCAGAAGAGGAGAGUGGAAUUCCAUGUGUAGCGGUGAAAUGCGUAGAUAUAUGGAGGAACACCAGUGGCGAAGGCGGCUCUCUGGUCUGUAACUGACGCUGAGGCUCGAAAGCGUGGGGAGCAAACAGGAUUAGAUACCCUGGUAGUCCACGCCGUAAACGAUGAGUGCUAAGUGUUGGAGGGUUUCCGCCCUUCAGUGCUGCAGCUAACGCAUUAAGCACUCCGCCUGGGGAGUACGACCGCAAGGUUGAAACUCAAAGGAAUUGACGGGGGCCCGCACAAGCGGUGGAGCAUGUGGUUUAAUUCGAAGCAACGCGAAGAACCUUACCAGGUCUUGACAUCCUUUGACCACUCUAGAGAUAGAGCUUCCCCUUCGGGGGCAAAGUGACAGGUGGUGCAUGGUUGUCGUCAGCUCGUGUCGUGAGAUGUUGGGUUAAGUCCCGCAACGAGCGCAACCCUUAUUGUUAGUUGCCAUCAUUCAGUUGGGCACUCUAGCAAGACUGCCGGUGACAAACCGGAGGAAGGUGGGGAUGACGUCAAAUCAUCAUGCCCCUUAUGACCUGGGCUACACACGUGCUACAAUGGGAAGUACAACGAGUUGCGAAGUCGCGAGGCUAAGCUAAUCUCUUAAAGCUUCUCUCAGUUCGGAUUGCAGGCUGCAACUCGCCUGCAUGAAGCCGGAAUCGCUAGUAAUCGCGGAUCAGCACGCCGCGGUGAAUACGUUCCCGGGCCUUGUACACACCGCCCGUCACACCACGAGAGUUUGUAACACCCG